rnacentral:rRNA from 1 species
UACAGAGGGUGCGAGCGUUGUCCGGAAUCACUGGGCGUAAAGGGCGCGUAGGUGGCGCGACAAGUCGGUGGUGAAAGUUCGACGCUCAACGUCGAGUCGGCCACCGAUACUGUUGGGCUCGAGCACUGUAGAGGCAGAUGGAAUUCCGGGUGUAGCGGUGGAAUGCGUAGAGAUCCGGAAGAACACCGGUGGCGAAGGCGGUCUGCUGGGCAGUUGCUGACACUGAGGCGCGACAGCGUGGGGAGCAAACAGG